rnacentral:rRNA from 1 species
GACGAACGCUGGCGGCGUGCCUAAUACAUGCAAGUAGAACGCUGAAGAGAGGAGCUUGCUCUUCUUGGAUGAGUUGCUAACGGGUGAGUAACGCGUAGGUAACCUGCCUUGUAGCGGGGGAUAACUAUUGGAAACGAUAGCUAAUACCGCAUAACAAUGGAUGACACAUGUCAUUUAUUUGAAAGGGGCUAUUGCUCCACUACAAGAUGGACCUGCGUUGUAUUAGCUAGUAGGUGAGGUAAUGGCUCACCUAGGCGACGAUACAUAGUCGACCUGAGAGGGUGAUCGGCCACACUGGGACUGAGACACGGCCCAAACUCCUACGGGAAGCGGCAGUAGGGAAUCUUCGGCAAUUGGGGCAACCCUGACCGAGCAAGGCCGCGUGAGUGAAGAAGGUUUUCGGAUCGGAAAGCUCUGUUGUAAGUCAAGAAAGGGUGUGAGAGUGGAAAGUUCACACUGUGACGGUAGCUUACCAGAAAGGGACGGCUAACUACGUG